rnacentral:rRNA from 1 species
UACGGAGGAUGCAAGCGUUAUCCGGAAUGAUUGGGCGUAAAGCGUCCGCAGGUGGCUAUGUAAGUCUGCUGUUAAAGCGUCUAGCUCAACUAGAUAAGAGCAGUGGAAACUACAAGGCUAGAGUACGUUCGGGGCAGAGGGAAUUCCUGGUGUAGCGGUGAAAUGCGUAGAGAUGAGGAAGAACAUCAGUGGCGAAGGCGCUCUGCUGGGCCGUAACUGACACUGAGGGACGAAAGCGAGGGGAGCGAAUGGG